GACGAACGCUGGCGGCGUGCUUAACACAUGCAAGUCGAACGGAAAGGCCCUGCUUUUGUGGGGCGCUCGAGUGGCGAACGGGUGAGUAACACGUGAGUAACCUGCCCUUGACUUUGGGAUAACUUCAGGAAACUGGGGCUAAUACCGGAUAGGAGCUCCUGCUGCAUGGUGGGGGUUGGAAAGUUUCGGCGGUUGGGGAUGGACUCGCGGCUUAUCAGCUUGUUGGUGGGGUAGUGGCUUACCAAGGCUUUGACGGGUAGCCGGCCUGAGAGGGUGACCGGCCACAUUGGGACUGAGAUACGGCCCAGACUCCUACGGGAGGCAGCAGUGGGGAAUAUUGCACAAUGGGCGGAAGCCUGAUGCAGCAACGCCGCGUGCGGGAUGACGGCCUUCGGGUUGUAAACCGCUUUCGCCUGCGACGAAGCGUGAGUGACGGUAAUGGGUAAAGAAGCACCGGCUAACUACGUG
rnacentral:rRNA from 1 species